rnacentral:sRNA from 1 species
UUUUAGCCCGGAUCAAAACGGCAUCCUUUUUAUUUUUUCCGAAAAAAAUGAAAAGAUAUAGUGGAGAGCCGGAUCUCAU